UUACUCUACCAAUUUAGCACGGUUUGACUUUAUUCUCUUCAAGCUCGAAUUAGAGAUUUCCCUAAAUUCACAGUUUUUGGGAUUAUUCAUAUAAGAUGUCAUCCGACAGUGAUGGUGAUAGACAUCGCGGGCAUCUUGGAGUUAUCUAGACUAAACAUGCUAAAAAAACAAGAAGUCUAGGAGAUCCAUAGAUCCUGAGGAUAUUGCAGGGUCUAUUUCUUUUACGCUAGAGCCCAUAAGCCAUGAUACUCAUUUAUUUGUAGAGCCAUGAUACUCAUUUAUUUGUAGUUUUGUUUGGUAUGGAGGAUCCUCAGCAAUAUUAUCUUAAUUAUCAUCAACCAGUCGGUGCUUCCUCUACAUCACUGUCAUUGACUCCACGAUUCUAUAAGGACUUACCUUUACAGGCUAUUCGUCGAGCAUGACCCUUAUCGGAAGAUACUCCAUUUCCCACAUAUACAUCUCCUUAGUUAUCUGCCAUGAGAAUUUGAGAUUCUAGUAGCGAAAAGUCAGAUGUUAUUGACGGUACACCUCCAUUUACUCAGCAUUUGGUGCAUCAUGAUGUAUCACCCUCAUCUACAGCUACACCUAGUGCUACACUAGAUGGUCAGAUGCCUUCUUUAGCUCCUGGACAGAAGGACAGACUAAGGUGGCAUCCUACAAAGAUGUUGCCCCGUCUUUAAAAGAUUGUGUUAGAAGAGUCUAUACACAGGCUUAUUACUCUUGGAGAGAGAUUCCAAAUAGUAUACGCCAGAAGAAGUUUAAUAACUUUAAGGCUAUGUGUACUUGCGAGUCGAGGUACAAUUUCUUCAUUGGGACUACAUUUAAGAGGAAGGCCUCCGCUAGACUGUCUAGUUGGCUAAAGAAAAUUUGUGAUAGUGGAGAAUGUCCGGAUUGGAUGUUGCCUCAUGUUUUUGAUGAAUUGGGUCUGUACUGGAACACAGAUAAGUUUAAGACAAUAUCAGAAUAAGCUAAAAAGGCUAGAGAUAGUCUCAAGGGUGGCUCGUUGUACAGCGUAGGUACAAAGACCGUUGGAACAAUUUCAAGAGAGAUGAAUGAGUUUCGUCACUACGUCGAUGAGAAUCUAGAUAGUUCAGAGUCUAUGGUCCAGGCUCUCAAAACGAUGUAAGAUGACUCUAGUCAGGCUUAGAAGGUAUUGGAUCAUCACGUCAACUCAAGGCACUUAACGGUGUUCAUAUUGCUUCUAUGUCAUCUCAAAUAGCACAACUCACAACGGCAGGCAGAGUCAGAAUGUAGAAGUGUAGAUCAACAAUGAAGCAUAAGCAAGACUGUUGAACAAAUCAAAUAAAAAGUGAUGAACCUCGCUCAUUGAUCUACUACUUAGGCUCCCAAGGACAUCGAUCACUGUGAUGAUGAGUAUGAUUAUGUAUAUCCCACUUCAUGGACAAUAUU